UUAAUUGAAACCAAAAAGCGGUAACUUAUUGUUAAUAAGUUUAUUAUAAUUGUUAUUAUCAAUUAAG
rnacentral:tRNA from 1 species